rnacentral:rRNA from 1 species
UACGUAGGUGGCAAGCGUUGUCCGGAAUUACUGGGCGUAAAGGGCGCGUAGGCGGCCUUCUAAGUCGGACGUGAAAUCCCUCGGCUUAACCGAGGAACUGCGUCCGAUACUGAAAGGCUUGAAUCCGGGAGAGGGAUGUGGAAUUCCAGGUGUAGCGGUGAAAUGCGUAGAUAUCUGGAGGAACACCGGUGGCGAAGGCGGCAUCCUGGACCGGCAUUGACGCUGAGGCGCGAAAGCUAGGGGAGCAAACGGG